rnacentral:misc_RNA from 1 species
UUGAAAACGGGAAACUGUUGCAACAAGUCAACCUGAAAGACUCCAAUCAUCUGCAGGAGCAGGUGAACAUGUUGACGACCGAAGUUUUCCUGUCGCUGCCCCGCAUCACAGCCAUGGAAUACGGAGACUUGGAUUUUUCGCUGAUUCCUACCGUGAUUGGCACUUCUUUGACUUAUUUGAUAAUCUUGUGUCAGUUCCAAUCGUCGGAGCAGUAACAACAACUGAUGGGCAUACCUCUUAACAGAAAUUGAUCCAUCGCAAACGAAGCGCUAUUCCCAUUUUUUUGGACCCAUUUCAUCAAAAUGUCAUUUAUUUUAUUGUUUUGAAUAUAACGGCUGGUCCCAUUGGCCAAGGCAAUCGAUGUGCAUGCGCUUCUAAUGAGAUAAAUUGUUAUA